rnacentral:rRNA from 1 species
CUGACGAGCGGCGGACGGGUGAGUAAUGCAUAGGAAUCUGCCCGAUAGUGGGGGAUAACCUGGGGAAACCCAGGCUAAUACCGCAUACGUCCUACGGGAGAAAGGGGGCUCCGGCUCCCGCUAUGGGAUGAGCCUAUGUCGGAUUAGCUAGUUGGUGAGGUAACGGCUCACCAAGGCCACGAUCCGUAGCUGGUCUGAGAGGAUGAUCAGCCACAUCGGGACUGAGACACGGCCCGAACUCCUACGGGAGGCAGCAGUGGGGAAUAUUGGACAAUGGGGGAAACCCUGAUCCAGCCAUGCCGCGUGUGUGAAGAAGGCCCUCGGGUUGUAAAGCACUUUCAGCGAGGAAGAACGCCUAGCGGUUAAUACCCGCUAGGAAAGACAUCACUCGCAGAAGAAGCACCGGCUAACUCCGUGCCAGCAGCCGCGGUAAUACGGAGGGUGCAAGCGUUAAUCGGAAUUACUGGGCGUAAAGCGCGCGUAGGUGGCUUGAUAAGCCGGUUGUGAAAGCCCCGGGCUCAACCUGGGAACGGCAUCCGGAACUGUCAAGCUAGAGUGCAGGAGAGGAAGGUAGAAUUCCCGGUGUAGCGGUGAAAUGCGUAGAGAUCGGGAGGAAUACCAGUGGCGAAGGCGGCCUUCUGGACUGACACUGACACUGAGGUGCGAAAGCGUG